CCUACGGGUGGCAGCAGUGAGGAAUAUUGGUCAAUGGUCGGGAGACUGAACCAGCCAAGCCGCGUGAGGGAUGAAGGUACAGAGUAUCGUAAACCUCUUUUGUCAGGGAACAAAGGCGGGGACGCGUCCCCGGAUGAGUGUACCUGAAGAAAAAGCAUCGGCUCACUCCGUGCGAGCAGCCGCGGUAAUACAGAGGAUGCGAGCGUUAUCCGGAUUGAUUGGGUUAAAAGGGGGCGCAGGCGGUCUGUUAAGUCAGCGGUCAAACCCCGGGGCCCAACCCCGGCCCGCCGUUGAAACUGGCAGUCUCGAGUUGGAGAGAAGUAUGCGGAAUGCGCGGUGUAGCGGUGAAAUGCAUAGAUAUCGCGCAGAACUACGAUUGCGAAGGCAGCAUGCCGGCUCCACACUGACGCUGAGGCACGAAAGCGUGGGUAUCGAACAGGAUUAGAUACCCCUGUAGUC
rnacentral:rRNA from 1 species